GCGUCAAUAGCUCAGUUGGAUAGAGCAUCGCCCUUCUAAGGCGGGGGUCGGGGGUUCGAAUCCCUCUUGACGCACCA
rnacentral:tRNA from 1 species